UGAGACAGAGAUCCACUUCAUCCUUCCAACAGGCAAGCAAGUCCAGUGGAAUUGUACCCUUCCAGUGUCCUACUGCAAAGCAGACCUUGAUGAAUCUUCGGAUGCUGCAGACUAUCUUCCAGACUCAUGUGGCAAUUCCUCGGAUGCUUCUAUUAUAAGUACUACAAGUUCUUGUAGUAAGGAAUAUAAAACCACAGAAAAGAAUCUCCACCACAAAUUGUCAGAGAACAAACCAUUAGGGAAUGUUACAGCACACAGUGGGGAUAGUACCACCAGUUCAGAGAAGCCAAGAACAUUAAGUUAUUCAAAGAUGCGCAGCAAUCCUUGUACUUCAGUAAUAAGCUGCAGUGCCAAUUCAUCAGAGAACACAUCACACCAGAAAAGCUCCAUAAAUGUCACACCUUUGUCAAUAACAGCAAAAGGAAGCAAGUACAACAAGAAGCAAUUUUGUCUUUAUUGUAAAAAGGCCAUUUAUAAAUUGGCAAGACACCUCGAAUCCAUCCACAGUGAAAAGCCUGAUGUUGCAAUGGCUUUCAGUUUUAAUAAAGGAUCCCGCAAAAGAAGAGAGUUGUUACGCUCUCUUAAGAAGAGAUGAAACUUUGACUAUAAUACUGAAGUGGCAAGCUGUGGCACUGGAGAGAUGGUUGCCUGUAAAAGACCUAGUAAUGCAAAACCAUCUGAUGACUACCGUGACUGCAAAUUUUGCGAAGGACUGUAUGCAAGAAAUUCCCUAUGGAGACAUGUGAGAAACUGCCCGAAGAAGUCUGUUGAGGGAGAGCCUCAAGUUGGGCGAAAACGGAUUCAACUGCACUUACCAAGACCUGACUCAGUUAAGGAAACUGUUUGGAAGAUUGCUUGUGAAAUGAACCAGGAUGACGUUUCCUCGGUUGUAAGGAGUGAAACUGAAUUCCUUUGUAUCGGCGAGUCACUGUUGAAUUCCAGGAAACCAUAUGAGAGAAGGAAUGACUACAUACGCCAAAAAAUUAGAGCGAUGGCAAGACUAUUGAUAACGGCAAGGGCUAUAACACCUUUGAAGAGCACCGAA